UACGAAAGAAUGAGGAAAAUGUAUAUCUAACCACUUUGCGUUCAAGUGAUAGUUAGAACUGAGAAGAAAGAGAGGAAACGAAGAAUUGUAAAAGGUACAUACAAGAAGGCAAACGGAGUGCCGCGAAUAAAAGUAAUAAAGCCAGAACUUAGCAACAACUCUUAAACAGACAAUGCUCAAAAUUUUUAUUUUUUAAUUAUCAGUAGUCGAGCAUGCUGGCCAAAACAAAGUUAAGUAAACAUCCAGCCACACGAGAGAAAGUAGAGCUAGAUGGUCCUCAACAUGACGAAAGAGUAAGAGCGAUAAGUGCAGCGAAGGGAACGUGACGCUCCAUUACAUAUACGAGACGGUGAAAAAGGAACGGAAGGAAAAGAAAAGGAAAAAGUACAGUAUGUACAUUUAUUUCAAAGAAAUGAGAUAACGAGAUUGGUUAGGCGACUGAAAGUAAAAUUGAAAUGGCUGGUCAUAAAGACUAUUUGCUAUCCACUUUCAAUAACAAGAAACCAUGGGAUGGAAAACAGGUAGCUGUUAAAAGUUUCAUUUCGUUUUACACUAUUCAGGAAAAUUGGCUUUCCGUCGCAUUUGACAAGAAUUCGCCAUUCUGUAAAGAAAUGUACAAAUGAAAAAACAAAGCGAAACGGCGAAUGAAACAGAAAUGAUUGAUAAGUAAUGAAAUGCAAAUGAGAAAAGGAUAAGAAUAAACAAACCAAAGAGACUUUUUUAAGGGUUGUAUCUCACUACAGUGAAACAAUUGAAAGAAAAAUUCAAAAGUCAGUCAAAAGAUGAAGUCGAUUUAAAAGCAAUAAGUUAAGGAACCAGAUGACAUAUUUAAGACUUUGAAUGAAAUGCAAGCAACGAAAUUUUCUUAAAAAAAGAGGGCCAUGAGAAAAAGCAAAUAGUUAAGUUUAAAAAGAAAGUUUGAAAGAAGGAUAAAUAGUUUGCUAAAUAACUCCUUUUUUAAAGAAAGUAAACCGACGGACCAAUUGAUUGUAUGAGAUGGUAUAAGCGAAACCCAUAAUAAUAACAAAGCUUUG